rnacentral:rRNA from 1 species
UACAGAGGGUGCGAACGUUGUUCGGAUUUACUGGGCGUAAAAGCGCGUGUAGGCGGUCUCGCAAGUCGGAUGUGAAAGCCCAGGGCUCAACCCUGGAAGUGCACUCGAUACUGCGAGGCUAGAGUCCCGGAGAGGAUGGUGGAACUCUCGGUGUAGAGGUGAAAUUCGUAGAUAUCGAGAAGAACACCGGUGGCGGAAGGCGGCCAUCUGGACGGUGACUGACGCUGAGAGCGAAAGCGUGGGGAGCAAACAGG